UGGGGGUGGGAACGGGAGCAGGCAGGGUGAGAUAUAACCGGGACGAGCGGGCGAGGAGCAGCGUGAGGAUCCUCCGGUGCUCACACCCCCACCGAGGGGCUGCUUCUUCCCAGCCUCGCCCCAGCAAAAAUUGUUGCUGUGACUCUUGCUACACAUUAACUGGGAGAAAAAUAAAAGAGUGAGUGAACCUUGAAAAAAGGAAACAGGAGACAGUGGACAUGAACAUAGCUAAAAGUGCUGGUAAGAUCUGUAUUAUUUCUAUUUAAACAGUGAUGGAAGGGAAAAUAAGUAAUUUAAAAAACCUUGAGUGGAUCCAAGUAUUGAGUAGUAUAAGGGACACGUGUCCCAAAAAAGCUCAUCAAUGCAUUUUUUAAAUCCUUAGGGAAAUAUUGUAGUGAAGAUUCCA